GACGUAGGGCGCGAGCGUUGUCCGGAUUUAUUGGGCGUAAAGAGCUCGUAGGCGGCUUGUCGCGUCGACCGUGAAAACUUGGGGCUCAACCCUGAGCUGGCGGUCGAUACGGGUAGGCUGGAGUUCGGUAGGGGAGACUGGAAUUCAUGGUGUAGCAGUGAAAUGCGUAGAGAUCAUGAGGAAGACCAGUGGCGAAGGCGGGUCUCUGGACAGUUCCUGACACUGAGGCACGAAGGCCAGGGGAGCAAACGGG
rnacentral:rRNA from 1 species